CUUCGGGCCCUGUGCAACGGUAUGCUGUGAACCCCGCCAGGUCCGGAAGGAAGCAACGGUAAGCGGUUAUCCCGGGUGCCGCAGGAUCACCUGAAGGCC
rnacentral:SRP_RNA from 1 species